CCCAGGACAGGGCAAACCCAGCGAAAGCUGGCGGCGCAAAGCAAUGGGUCUAAAGCGCGGCGAGAUGCCGCGCCAUGACUGCCAUGCUGCACUU
rnacentral:ncRNA from 1 species